GAGUCACUGAAACUGAGACAAUAUCUUGCAUGAUGAGAUUAUUGGGGUCACUGAAACUGAGAAUUCCAUGUGGAGUGUGUAAGCACAUUGUACUAUAAUCAUGAAAACCAAACUCUCUUUGAAAGUUCCAUCUAGCUACCAUUAGCAGCUAUGGUAUAACUAAAUUUACCUCUUCAUUUGUAUCAAUAACGGCAAGCGAAGUGUUCCCAUUCGAGGUGUUACAUGCUUCUCCUGGGGACACUUAUCCGAGAUGGGUCGUUCCUUGGCCUUACGAGGUCAGUCUUACGUUGGGUCUUACGAUCUCGGUGACUCUAAUGUUUUUACAUAAUCUCAGAGGAACAUGUAGAAUCACGGUGGAACGAACAAUCAUGAACAAUAAACAUCAUGGGCAAAAGGCAAAGAUGUAUAAUGGUUCACCAUGCCAUCGAAGGACAUGACUACAUCCACUUAAGGUUCUACUAUCAUGGCCAAUAGGCCCUUGGGAUCGGGAGAGAGAGAGAUUCAGUCAGCCCUCCUCUAUCCAUCAUCCAUCAGAUCAGCUAGAGAGAUUCAGUCCCUUUCAGCUAGAGAGAUUCAGUCCCUUUCAGCUAAAGAGAGUUUCUACGUAUGGGAACCCUUCCUUUUAUAGCUAAGGAAGGUUCCCUCCUUUUACAUGUUUCCAAUGUGGGACAAACUAUACAUAACUAUUAUUACGGUGUCUUCUUGUGGAGCUUGGAGAAGCACCUUCCCGAUGUGGCACGAAUGAUAUUUCAUCAUAACGAGGUAGCCUGGAUAUCGGUUUACAAGUUUCAUGACUGGUCUAUGGGCGGGGAAGGUAGUUCUCAACUACCGACUACAAGUCUCCCCAAGUUCUCGUUCAAGAUACGUCUUGAGUGGGGACUUGAUAUAUAAAAUGCCCAUAGACUAGUCAUUAGACCUGUAAAUGGACCGGAUAUUGAUCCAGACCCGCUCCGGAUCCGUAGUUUUUAAACGGGUCUGGAUCGAAAAUUUGACCCGUUGAUCCGUUAAGGACCCGGAUCCGUUUACCCGUUUAUUAAACGGAUCGGAUACGGAUCGAGGUUGAUCCGACCCGUUAAGGACCCGGAUCCGUUUUAAAAUAAUUAAAUAAUAUUUUUAUAAAUAUAAUAUUACAGAUAAAUAUUAAAUAAUAUAACAAUUCUGGAUAACCUAAACGUCUACAUUAAACCUUACCAUCACUCGAGACGCUGAUGAUCGAGGAAAGCCAACGUUUGGUUUACCAGAAAGCUUAGAAGGUUGUGCUUCAUUAAAGCAAUCUCAUCCCCUCUCAGAUGUUAUUCAUGUUAAUACGUCUCUCACUCUAUAUGAAAGAAAGAAGAACUCUGCUCCACUUUGGUUAUCAAACUAUUGAUCUGGUAAGAGAGCCAUAUCUCCCUUU
rnacentral:lncRNA from 1 species